rnacentral:rRNA from 1 species
GGCGGUGUAGGUGGAAGCAGAGGUGGAGGAGGAGGUAGCCAACACUUAUAUAUAUAUAUAAAUAUAUAUAUAUAUAUUUUUUUUUUUUAUUGGGAUAGCCCCCAAAAUAUUGGGACAUAUAAAAAAAGACAACUCUGUCCCGCAGAGUAGCUGCUGACAUUAUAGUUGCGCAGGCACUUUGUUGACUCUUGAGAACCUCGGGCCAAUCGCACAUCCCCGUGACGGCGACUUCACAUUUGGAUGUCAUCCAGAUCACCUUUCGAUACCAGUUUCUGUGCCUACUAUGGCGACCAUGGGUAACGGGGAAUCAGGGUUCCAUUCUGUAUAGCGACCCUGAGAAAUGGCUACCACAUGCAAGGAAGGCAGCAGGCGCGCAAACAACCCACUUCUGACGCGGGAAGGUAG